rnacentral:rRNA from 1 species
UACGAAGGGGGCGAGCGUUGUUCGGAUUUACUGGGCGUAAAGGGCGCGUAGGCGGCUCUUCAAGUCAGGCGUGAAAGCCCCGGGCUCAACCUGGGAAUGGCGCUUGGGACUGGAGGGCUCGAGUUCGGGAGAGGAGAGUGGAAUUCCCAGUGUAGAGGUGAAAUUCGUAGAUAUUGGGAAGAACACCGGUGGCGAAGGCGGCUCACUGGCCCGGUACUGACGCUGAGGCACGAAAGCGUGGGGAGCAAACAGG